rnacentral:rRNA from 1 species
CCUACGGGGUGCAGCAGUGGGGAAUAUUGAGCAAUGGGCGCAAGCCUGACCCAGCAACGCCGCGUGAAGGAAGAAGGCUCUCGGGUUGUAAACUUCUUUUAUCAGGGACGAAGCAAGUGACGGUACCUGAUGAAAAAGCCACGGCUAACUACGUGCCAGCAGCCGAGGUAAUACGUAGGUGGCAAGCGUUAUCCGGAUGUACUGGGUGUAAAGGGCGUGUAGGCGGGAAAGCAAGUCAGAUGUGAAAACCAUGGGCUCAACCUGUGGCCUGCAUUUGAAACUAUUUUUCUUGAGUACUGGAGAGGCAGACGGAAUUCCUAGUGUAGCGGUGAAAUGCGUAGAUAUUAGGAGGAACACCAGUGGCGAAGGCGGUCUGCUGGACAGCAACUGACGCUGAGGCGCGAAAGCGUGGGGAGCAAACAGGAUUAGAUACCCCGGUAGUC